UUGGACGUAACUGAAGUGAUAAUGCUGUCAUGAGUAACGAAAAGGAGAUUUAAUUCUCCUCGCCGAAUGCGUAAGGGUUUCUAUUGACUAUUCAAGUAAGUGGGUAGUCAGGAAAAAUUGGAUUUCCUAGAGUGAACACGGUCUCUAAGGUAUAUGUGCGAAAGCCAUGGCUGAUGAGGAUAACUGCAGAACGUCCAUGUUAUUGGACCAGGAAAAUGAUGUAGUUUAAAUUUACCGUACCCUAAACCGACUCAGGUGCGCAGGUAGAGUAUACUAAGGCGAUGAGCUAAUGUGUGUGAAGGAACUCGGCAAAUUGCACCCGUAACUUAGAGGAUAAGGGUGACCAGUUCUAAUGGCUGGUGUCACAAAAUCGAGAGGUGCGACUGUUUACCAAAAACACAGAGAUCUGCUAAUACUAAUGUAUGGGUAUAGGUCUUGAAUUCUGCUCAGUGCUACUGAAUAAAAUGGGUAAUUCCCCCGCUCCCUAGCUCCGAAGGGAGGGACACGGCGCAUCAUCAAUUCGUUGAUGAUAGCUUGUACCCUACCUAGGGCGACGGGGUGGAACGUUAUCUUUCGAACAGGUAGUAAACAGCGGUCUUAACUAUAAGGAUCCUCAGGUAGUUGGUGAGUAAAUAAAGUUUUACCAUCAAAGGCUGCCCCCAAUCACGAGUUGGGUAAUUUUAUAGAUUGCUGAAAAACCAUCAAAUUACACGAUGAUGAUUAGCAGGUAGUAAAAUCUACUUCAGAGACUAGACAAGAAAACCAAAUCAAUGGUUAUAGUAUAGUCCAAUCUUAAGUGCAAAUUUAAGUCCCCCGCUCCCUAGCUCCGAAGGGAGGGACACGGCGCAUCAUCAACUCGUUGAUGAUAGCUUGUACCCUACCUAGGGCGACGGGGUGGUAAUUUAAAUAAGCGAAAUUCCUUGGCCACUAAUUAUGGUCCCGCAUGAAUGAAGUAACGAUGCCUCUGCUGUCUCCACACACAGCUCAGUGAAAUUGAAUUAGCCGUGAAGAUGCGGUUUGUCUGCAAAUAGACGGGAAGACCCCAUGCAGCUUUACUAUAAGUAGUUAUUGCUAUUGUUAAUCAUCAGGUGUAGAUACAGGGUAGUCGACUAGACAACAAUGAAAAACCUUGACUGAUCAUUGACGACGGCUAAUCUUUAUAAAGAAACAGUUGCUACCUGGUAGUUUCUCUGGGACGGAGUUCUAUAAUAAAAUAUCAUAGAAGUUCAAAGGUUUGUUUUAAUUGGAAUGAAACCAAUUUGCCCCGCACCCCGACCCAGAGGGGGACGCUGCUGAUGAUCUAUGAUCAUCCUGGCACCCUCUCGGGGCUUGGGUAGGUAAUGUACAAAGUAAAGUGUAAUAGCAUAAACAAGCUUAACUGUAAGACCGACAAGUCAAACAGAUACGUAAGUAGGAUAUAGUGAUCCGGUGGUACAUCAUGGAAUGGCCAUCGCUCAACGAAUAAAA
rnacentral:rRNA from 1 species